UGACUGAGCGGCGGACGGGUGAGUAACGCGUGGAUAACCUGCCUCACACAGGGGGAUAACAGUUAGAAAUGACUGCUAAUACCGCAUAAGCGCACGGUACCGCAUGGUACAGUGUGAAAAACUCCGGUGGUGUGAGAUGGAUCCGCGUCUGAUUAGGUAGUUGGUGAGGUAACGGCCCACCAAGCCGACGAUCAGUAGCCGACCUGAGAGGGUGACCGGCCACAUUGGGACUGAGACACGGCCCAAACUCCUACGGGAGGCAGCAGUGGGGAAUAUUGCACAAUGGGCGAAAGCCUGAUGCAGCAACGCCGCGUGAGUGAAGAAGUAGUUCGCUAUGUAAAGCUCUAUCAGCAGGGAAGAUAGUGACGGUACCUGACUAAGAAGCUCCGGCUAAAUACGUGCCAGCAGCCGCGGUAAUACGUAUGGAGCAAGCGUUAUCCGGAUUUACUGGGUGUAAAGGGAGUGUAGGUGGCCAGGCAAGUCAGAAGUGAAAGCCCGGGGCUCAACCCCGGGACUGCUUUUGAAACUGCAGGGCUAGAGUGCAGGAGGGGCAAGUGGAAUUCCUAGUGUAGCGGUGAAAUGCGUAGAUAUUAGGAGGAACACCAGUGGCGAAGGCGGCUUGCUGGACUGUAACUGACACUGAGGCUCGAAAGCGUGNGGAGCAAACAGGAUNAGAUACCCUGGUAGUCCACGCCGU
rnacentral:rRNA from 1 species